UACGUAGGGGGCAAGCGUUGUCCGGAUUUAUUGGGCGUAAAGAGCGUGUAGGCGGCCAGGUAGGUCUGCUGUGAAAACUCGAGGCUCAACCUCGAGACGUCGGCGGAAACCAUCUGGCUAGAGUCCGGAAGAGGAGAGUGGAAUUCCUGGUGUAGCGGUGAAAUGCGCAGAUAUCAGGAAGAACACCCGUGGCGAAGGCGGCUCUCUGGGACGGUACUGACGCUGAGACGCGAAAGCGUGGGAGCGAACAGG
rnacentral:rRNA from 1 species